rnacentral:rRNA from 1 species
UGAGUAACCUGCCCUCCACUCUGGGAUAAGCCCGGGAAACUGGGUCUAAUACCGGAUAUGACCUCCUGUCUCAUGGCGGGUGGUGGAAGGUUUUUUCGGUGGGGAAUGGACUCGCGGCCUAUCAGCUUGUUGGUGAGGUAAUGGCUUACCAAGGCGACGACGGGUAGCCGGCCUGAGAGGGCGACCGGCCACACUGGGACUGAGACACGGCCCAGACUCCUACGGGAGGCAG